rnacentral:rRNA from 1 species
UACGGAGGGAGCUAGCGUUGUUCGGAAAUACUGGGCGUAAAGCGCACGUAGGCGGCGCAGCAAGUCAGGGGUGAAAUCCCGGGGCUCAACCCCGGAACUGCCCUUGAAACUGCAGUGCUAGAAUCUUGGAGAGGCGAGUGGAAUUCCGAGUGUAGAGGUGAAAUUCGUAGAUAUUCGCAAGAACACCAGUGGCGAAGGCGGCUCACUGGUCCGGUACUGACGCUGAGGUGCGAAAGCGUGGGGAGCAAACAGG